rnacentral:rRNA from 1 species
UACAGAGGGGGCAAGCGUUAUUCGGAAUUAUUGGGCGUAAAGGGCGCGUAGGCGGCUUUUCAAGUGACGGGUGAAAGCCCUCGGCUUAACCGAGGAACUGCCUGUCAGACUGGAAGGCUUGAGACCGGGAGAGGUGAGUGGAAUUCCCAGUGUAGCGGUGAAAUGCGUAGAUAUUGGGAGGAACACCAGUGGCGAAGGCGGCUCACUGGACCGGAACUGACGCUGAGGCGCGAAAGCGUGGGGAGCGAACAGG